AACAGAAUCAGACUUAAUAGCACUGACUUCUGUGAUGUGAAAUGUGUGUUUUGCAGCAGCAGUACAGCAAAAAGACAUAAUAUACUAUAUAUUACAGAAAAAAGUUCAAAAAAUGGAAUAAUGAAGUAGUGUUCAUUAUUCAGGGACCACCCAGAAGUCAGAUGGCAGAGGGAUAGAAGCUAUUCUUAAAAUUUUGAGUUUGGGUCUUCAGGCUCCUGUACCUGUUCCAUGGUAGUAGCAAGACGAGGACAUGCCCUGGAUGGUGAGGAAUGUUGGUGAAGGAUGAUCAUGAAGCACCAUCCUUUGAAGAUAUCCUUAAUGUCGUGCCUGUGAUGGAGCAGGGAAACUCCCUUGAAAAGGAAACACAGAUAAACUGGAUGCUUCAGAUAUGACACCCCUCAUCAAAACUGAGAAGGAGAAACAAGUCAGAAGAGGUGUUAGAGAAGAUUGGGGAAGGUUGGUGGAACAAAAGGAAUUUCUUUGAUCAGCAAAAAAAAUCAUAGGAGGCUCGAUGAUCACAAAAUGCUGGAGAAGCUCAGGCAGUACCUAUGGAAAUGACAUUUCGAGCUGAGACCCUGCACCAGGAUUGGAAGGGAAGCCUGCCUUCAGGAUUGUUAUUAUUCCAAGCAAACUCAUCAUCAAACUCAAGGAAAUAUGCAGAUGCUGGAAAUUCAAGCAACACACACAGAAUGCUGGUGGAACACAACAGGCCAGGCAGCAUCUAUAGGAAGAAGCACUGUCAACAUUUCAGAUCACAAUCAAUAAGGAGAGGCAGCAACAUCUCUACCACGAUUGGUCUAAAGACUGGGUCUCCUCAAGAUUUCAUCCUCAACUCCCUAAUCUGUUCCUUGUACACUCAUGACUGUGUGGACAGAUUAUUCAGUAACUCCAUCUGCAAGUUUGCAGAUGACGCCAGCAUAGUGAGCCAUAUCUCAAGUAACAAUGAGUCCGAGUAUGGGAAGGAGAUCGAGAGCUUAGUGCCCUGAUGUAAUGACAACAACCUUAUCCUCAAGGACAAUUACUUCAGAAAGGGGAGCAGUGCACAUGCUCCAAUCUACAUCAAUAGCAUCAAGGUUGAGAGGGUCGAAACCUUCAUGUUCCUACAUCCAAACAUCACUAAUAGUCUGUCCUGGACCUGCCACCUUGAUGUCAUGACCAACAAGAUUCAAGAUUGUUUAAUGUCAUUUUCCAGUAAAGAAAAUCUGCAGAUGCUGAAAAUCUAAGCAACACACACAAAAUACUGGAGGAACUCAGCAGGCUGGGCAGCAUCUAUGGAAAAGAGUACAGUCAACAUUUUGGACCAAGACAUUUUUGUAUUCACUGCAGAAAAGGACCUUGAUGGCUUACAGCAGACUGAAAAGCGUGAGCACAUAUACAUUAAGAAAGAGGACGUGCUGGAGUGUUUGGAAAGCAUCAAAUUGAAUAAGUCACUGGGACCGGAAAAGAUAUACCCCAGGCUACUGUGGGAGUAUAAGGCAUGAGAGAGGAGUUGGCCAGAAUUGAUUGGAAAAGAACACCUGCAGGGAUGACGGCAGAGCAACAAUGGCUGGAAUUUCUGGAAGCAAUUCGGAAGACGCAGGAUCAAAGAGGAGGAAGUAUUCUAAAAGAAAGAUGACACAACCAUGGCUAACAAGAGAAGCCAAAACCAAUGUAAAAGCCAAAGAGAGGGCAUAUUAGUGGGAAGUUAGAGGAUUGGGAAACCUUUAAAAACCAACAGAAGGCAACUAAAUAAGUCAUUAAGUAGGUAAAGAUGGAAUAUGAAAGUAAGCUAGCUCGUAAUAUCAAAGAGGAUACCAAAGGUUUCUUCAGCUACAUGAAGUGUAGCGAGAGGUGAGAGUGUAUAUUGGACUGCUGGAGAGUAGAUAAUGGGAGAAAAAGAAACAAUGGAUGAACUGAAUAAGUAUUUUGCAUCACUGUGGACACCAGCUGUGUGGUGGAAGUUUUAGGUGUCGGGAUCAUGAGUAUGUGAAGUUACCAUUACUAAGAGAAGGUUUUUUGACUGAAAGGUCUGAAAUUAGAUAGGUCACCUGGACCAGAUGAUGUACAUCCAGAGUUCUGAAAGAGAUAGCUGAAGAGAUUGUGAAGGCAUUAGUAAUGAUCUUUCAUGAAUGGUUCCGGAAGACUGGAAAAUUGCAAAUGUCACUCCACUCUUCAAUAAGGGAGAGAGGCAAAAGAAAGGAGACUAGACAAAAGAGAAUUGUUUGAUUUUAUGUACAUGGAUUUUCAGAAAGCCUUUGACAAGGUGUCACAUAUGAGACUGCUUAAUGAGCUGUGAAUCCAUGGUAUCACAAUAAAUAUUCUAGCAUAGAUAUAGUAGAGGCUGAUUGCCAGAAAGCAAAGAAUGGGAAUAAAAAGAGCCUUUUCUGUUUGGCUGCUGCUGGUGUUACAUAAGGGAUUAUGUUGAGACUGAUUCUUUUUAUGUUAUAUGUCAAUGAUUUGGUUGAUGGAAUUGAUGGCUCUGUUGCAAAGUUUGCAGACGUUUUGAAGACAGAUGGAGAGACAGGUAGGUUUGAGGGAGCAGAGAGUCUACAGAAGGCCUGAGACAGAUAAGGAGAAUGGGCAAAAAAUGGCAGGUGGAGUAUCAUGUCAGGAAGUGUAUGGUCAUGCACUUUGGCAGAAGAAAUGAAAGGAUUGACUAUCUUCUAAAUAGAGCAAAAAUAUGAAAAGCUGACACACAAGAGACUUGGAAGUUCCUGAGCAGGUUUCCAUAAAGGUAAAUUUGCAGGUUGAGUCUGUGGUAAGGAAAGAAAACAUGGUGCUAGCAUUCACUUCAAGAGGACUAUAGCAUAAAAUCAAGGACGUAAUGUUGAGACUUUAUAAAGCACUGGUGAGGCCUCACUUGGAGUAUUGUGAACAGUUUUUGGCCCCUUUUCUUAGAAACAAUGUGCAGAAACUAGAGGAGAUUCAAAGGAAGUUCACAAAAAUUAUGCCAGGAUUGAAUGGCUUGUCAUAUAGAGAGGAUUUGAUGGAUCUGGGCCUGUAUUCACUAAAAUACAGAAGAAUGAGGGGUGACCUCACUGAAACCUAUCAAAUGCUUGAUAGAGUGGAUGUGGAGAGAAUGUUUCUUACUGUGAGAGAGUCUAAGACCAGAGGACACCAGAAUAGUGGAGCAUCCUUUUAGAAUGGAGAUGAGGAGGAAUUUCUUUAGCCAAAGAGUGGUGAAUCUGUGGAAUUCUUUGCCACAUGCAGCUGUGGAGGCCGAGUCUUUAUGCAAACUUAAGGAGGAGGUUGAUAACUACCUGAUUUGUCAGGGCAUGAAGCGAUACAGGGAGAAGGUGGGAGAUUGGGGCUGGAAGGAAAAUUGGAUCAGCCAUGAUGAAUUGGCAGCAUAGACUCAAUGAGCCAAAUGGCCUAAUUCUGCUCCUAUAUCUUUUGCUCUUAUGGUGUUAUGUUAGCAAUAUUAACUUCUUCUGUAAUAAUAUGGUGGUACUAUUAAUCAUGCUUGCAGCUGAAUCAUUCCUCAAAAUUGGAGAAAGUUAGAACAGUAUUGAAGAUAUUGGGGCAACACGUAUUCAUUUCAGAGUGUCAGCAUUAAAACUCUGUUUCAAAAUAUUCAAGUGGUUUCACGUGGCUUUUAAAUUCUUGCUACAGAGAACAUUUCAACUUUUUGGAAAAAAAUUACAGAGUGUUGUCCCUCACACAAGGCAGCCUCCCUCCGUUUGCUCAAUUUAUUCUUCCUGCUGCCUCAGGAAAGCAGCUGAUAUAAUCAAAAAUGACACCCAGUCUGGUUAUUAUCACUUAUUGCCCCUUGUGUUAAGCAGAGGAUACAAAAACUUGAGAGAUUAGAUACCAUUUGGCUCAGGGACUGCUUCUAUCUCAGUUUCCUAACUCUUGAAUGGGACCUCUAUACAAUAUAAGUAACUUUGUAAUCUCUCAACCUCAUGCUGGCCUUUGUACUUUAUUUGUCUACUUAUAUUGCACUUUCUCUAUAACCAUAUUCUACAUUUGUUUUGUUCCUUGUUGUAGACCUUGAAGCACAUUUGCAUGAAAUUAUCUGCUGAUAAUUAAAAAUAAAAAUGUAAAAUAAAAAUCCUUCUCAUUACAUGUGACAAUAAUAAAUCAAUUAUCAAUUACAAACAACUAUGUGUGCAAUAAGUAAGCUCAAUAUUCAAAUAUUAUGCCAAAUUUAACAGUGCAUCCUUUGAUUGUAUCUAACAAAACAAAAUGAAGUAGUACUUAGUUUUAUUUUCAAGGAAAACAAAUCAGUCAAAGAAACAUAAAAAAUUAAUGGGAAUUCAAAUGCAAACUAAAUUUAAAAAGACCCAUUAGAAUGCAUAUUUUCAGUUCCUUUUUCAAAAUGAGUCAGUUAUUUUGAUUUAUAAAUGACCUCCCAGUCAGUCACUCUUCAUUCAGAUAAUAAUCUGAUUUUUGAUUUGUCUUACUGAAGUGAGAAUUCCCCACAUUAAAAUCUAUUUGACUCUCCUCUCCUGACAUCUAUGAGAUUGUAUUCCAUCAGUAUAGUUAGAUAUUUGAGAGACAGCAUAAGCACAAAGGACUAAAGGAGCUGUUUCUGUACUGGCUAACUCUGGAUCAGUGAACAUUUUUGAAAGCAUUGUAAACUAACAUCAGUUAGUAGAUGUUUAAACAGUGGAGUUACACAAUCUCAGGAUAAAAUUAUGACACAUGUAGUUGGAAGAAGAUUGCACACAUUACAGUGAAGUUGCUAGAGUAACUAGUUUACCUGGGGGAAAAAAGUGAUAUCAAGUGUGACAGCGGGAAAGCGUGUAUGGAACCGGAGGAAAUAGCAGUGGUAUUUAAUGAGUAAUUUGCUUCAGUAUUCACUAUGGAAAAGGAUCUUGGUGAUUGUAGUGAUGACUUGCAGCAGACUGAAAAGCUUGAGCAUCUAGAUAUUAAGAAAGAGGAUGUGCUUGGCACUUUUCAAAAGCAUCAUGUUGGAUAAGUCACUGUGAUCGGCUGAGGUGUACCCCAGGCUACUGUAGGAAGUGAAGGAGGAGAUUGUUAAGCCUCUGGCAAUGAUCUUUGAAUCGUCAUUGGGGACGGUAGGGGUUCCGGAGGAUUGGGGGGUGUUGUUUCUUUAUUCAAGAAAGGGAGUAGAGAUAGCCCAGGAAAUUAUAGACCAGUGAGUCUUACUUCAGUGGUUGGUAAGUUGAUGGAGAAGAUCCUAAGAGGCAGGAGUUAUGAACAUUUGGAGAGGUAUAAUAUGAUUAGGAAUAGUCAGCAUGGGCUUGUGAAGGGCAAGUUGUGCCUUAUGAAUCUGAUAGAAUUUUUUCAGGAUGUGCCUAAACACAUUGAUGAAGGAAGAGCAGUAGAUGUAGUCUAUAUGGAUUUCAGCACGGCAUUUGAUAAGGUACCCCAUCCAAGGCUUAUUAAGAAAGUAAGGAGGCAUGGGAUCCAAGGGGAUAUUGCUUUGUGGAUGUAGAACUGGCUUGCCCACAGGAGGCAAAGAGUGGUUGUAGACUGGUCAUAUUCUGCAUGGAGGUUGGUGACCAGUGGUGAGCCUCAGGGAUCUGUUCUGGGACCCUUACUCUUUGUGAUUUUUAUAAAUGACCUGGAUGAGGAAGUGGACUGAUGGGUUAGUAAGUUUGCUGAUGACACAAAGGUUGACAGUGUUGUGGAUGGUGUGGAGUUCAAUCCAGAUAAGUGUGAAAUAGUUCACUUUGGUAGGUCAAAUAUGAUGGCAGAACAUAGUAUUAAUGGUAAGACUCUUGGCAGUGUGGAGUAUCAGAGGGAUCUUGGGGUCCGAGUCUACAGGACACUCAAAGCAGCUGCACAGGUUGACUCUGUGGUUAAGAAGGCAUAUGGUGUAUUGACCUCCAUUAAUGCUGGAAUUGAAUUUAGGAGCCAAGCGAUAAUGUUUCAGCUAUAUAGGACCCUGGUCAGACCCCACUUGGAGUACUGUGCUCAGUUCUGUUCACCUCACUACAGGAAGGAUGUGGAAGCCAUAGAAAGGGUGCAGAAGAGAUUUACAAGGAUGUUGCCUGGAUUGGGGAGCAUGUCUUAUGAAAGCAGGUUGAGUGAACUUGGCCUUUUCUCCUUGGAGCGACGGUGAUGAGAGGUGACCUGAUAGAGGUGUAUAAGAUGAUGAGGGGCAUUGAUCAUGUGGAUAGUCAGAGGCUUCUUCCCAGGGCUGAAUUGGCUGCCACAAGAGGACACAGGUUUAAGGUGCUGGGGAGUAGGUACAGAGGAGAUGUCAGGGGUAAGUUUUUUACACAGAGAAUGGUGAGUGCGUGGAAUGAGCUGCCAGCAAUGGUGGUGGAGAUGGAUAUGAUAAGGUCUUUAAAGAGACUUAUGGAUAGGUACAUGGAGCUUAGAAAAAUAAAUUCUGAAUUCUUUCUUUUCAGUUCUGGCAAAUAAUCAUCAACCUAAACUUUUAACUCUUUUUCUCUCUCCACAGAUGCUGCCUGAUCUGCUGAGUAUCUCCAGUGCAUUCUGCCUUUAUCUCAAUUUUUGCAACUACUGCUACUCUGUGGUUUGCAACAGCUUUUCAGAGUUGCCCUUACAGAAUCAAACAGAAGGACAAGAAUGAAAUCUUCCAAGAUCCCGAGCUUUACCCACAAUCUGUAUAAAGGUGGCAGUAAGGGUUGUGCUUAAUGUAGCAGUAAAUCCAAAUACAAUCACCGAAGGGAUUAGCUACCAGUUUUUAUUCCCAGUAGGAGAAUCUAAUAAAACUACAGAUACUUCAGAAAACAAGGUGAUGUCUAAAAGGCAUAACCCAGCUAACAGAAGAAAAGCAACAAAAAGAGCAAAAUUUCAAGUAUCUAAGAUGGACCAUUUUGAGAAAGGAGAUUGUCCUUAUUCAUCUUCCACACUGGUCAAAGUCAACUGUAUUUCCAUUCUCUGUCUUCUUUAUGCUUAAGAACUGAACAGAUUACAGCAGAUCAGUUGGCUCCCUCCAUCUGCGCCACAUAACCAUCCACAUAGUCAUUUUAAAAUGUUUUUUAAAAAUAUUUUUCAAUCUCCUAUCUUUCCCCAUUUAUUUCCUUCAGGCAUUUUUUCAAAUGGCAUUUCAAGAGUUACUAUCAAGUGUAUUAAAUCACUAAAUUAAAUUGGAAAAUGCAAAUUCCUGGGUACCUUAAAGGAAGAAGACUCCACUGAGACUUCUUCACAAAGUUUUGUAUGAUGUAAUGUCACAAAUUUUAUUGGGAGUGGUGCUGCAAUUAGCCACUAAGUGUUGUUGCUGCUUCGCAAUGUUUUACUUGCAUAUUGAUAAACAGGAGACUAACAAGAUUGCAGCUCACCUUAGUUUAGUGGAUUGCCUUGACAAUUGUUAGUAAUCACAUUCAAAGACACGUGAUCAGGGAGAUGAUUCUGACCAAUCUUUUCAGAGUUUCUAAUAUUAAAGUGUUUAUAUCAUUGUUCAAAGUUAUGUAUCUUAAGACUACCUGCAGUAGUUGUACAACAUGAAGGUAAUCUAUUAAGUGCCAGUGAUAGUAUACAAAAGAUAUGGAACCCACACCCAGUCAGCUCUUUCUAGAUAGUAUUUUUAAUUAAUGCCCAGAAUAGAAAGCUUAUCACUAAUUCUAUUUACACUAAACAUUGGUCCUUGUUGAGGGGCAUGAAAGCUCUUUCAUGUCAAUCCAUAAAACAGCAAAGCAUCCGCUUAAUGAUUUGAGUCACCCAGAUUAUAUUUCAGGUAAGCAAACAAAGUGAAGUGACACAUUUUCCUGCACACUUUCCAAAUACACUGUAUUCUAAACAUUAAUGUUGAGAACAGAGCUUGUUUUGAUAGAUGUGUCAAAAUGCUAUAUCUCUAACCUUUCCCACAUUCUUACCAGGCCUCUCCUAGUUAUUCACAGGAUUGCAGGUUCACAGAGUGGCUACCCCACAGAAGAGAGAAGGUUAGCCUUCCGUGCCUGGAGUAGCUGUGUGUAAGCGCCAUCAGCAGUCCAAAUUCCCUGCUUCUCUCCUGCACUACUUUUAUUUUCGGAUUAUCAUCCAGUCUCCUUUCCAGUGUCAUAAUUGAAUUUACUCUUGGUGGUAAAAUCCAGGUCCUCUCCACUAUCUGCACUAAACAAUGUUAAAUAUAAUUUUAGGUCAUGUUUCUUCUUUUGCCAAAAAUAAAUUCUUCCUCCUCUAUCUCUUUAAAGAGCAAACACAAGGAAACCUGCAGAUGCUAGAAAUUCAAACAACACACACAAAAUGCUGGUGGAACACAGAAGGCCUGGCAGCAUCUAGAGGAGAAGUACUGUUGACGUUUCGGGCUGAGACCCUUCGUUAGGACCCUUACAACAGAACUUGCUCAUCCUUGUAAUUUGUUUGUAUGUGCCAUCUUGUACGACAUGAGCGAACAUGGUCUUUCCAAGACCAUGAUUGUUCUUACAAAAUUUUUCUGCAGAAGUUGUUUUCCAUUGCCUUUUUCUGCGCAGUGCCUAUACUAGAUGGGUGACUCCAGCCAUUAUCAAUAUUCUUCACAGAUUGUCUACUUGGCAUCAGUGGUCGAAUGACCAGGAUUUGUGAUGCCCAGCUGUUUAUACGACCAUCCACCGUCUGCUCCCAUGUUUCUUCGUGACCCUGAUCGGAGGGGGGGGGGGUGCUAAGCUGGUGCUACAACUUGCCCAAUGGUCAGCUCAAGGCCUCAAGGUUAGUGGAUGGAAGAAGUGUCUCACACCUCCUUUGGUAGAGACAUAUCUCCAACCUGCCACUCCUGUUUCUUCACCUUGGGAUUAACUUUGUUAGAUAUCUUCUGUGCCCUCUUCAAUGGAUUCCCAUGCUCCAAAACUGGAGACAAUACAGCAUCACAGGUUGAGACAGUCAUAGUUAUCAAGUCGUAGAAUCAGAUGAAGCUACCACAUGGAAACAGAGUCUUCUACCCACCAGGUGCCAGCUGGACACUGAGCACCCAUUGUUCAGUGGGCUCACUGUACCCUACCAUAUUUUAUUGCCCUUAGAUUUGUGGUGGUGAGAGUAUUGACUGGCUGCAUCACUGCCUGGUACGAAAGCACCAAAUUUCAAAGUGCACAGAAAAGUUCAAAGUAAAUUUUAUUAUCAACAUACACAUAUGUCACAAUAUACAACCCCCAGAUUCAUUUUCUAAUGGGCAUAAACAAUAAAUCUAUAGAAAAAUAACCAUAACAGGAUCAGUAAAAGACCGACCAUCUGAGGCAUUCAACCAGAGUGCAAAAGACAACAAACUGUGCAAAUACAAAAAGAAGAAAUAAUAAUAAUAAUAAUAAUAAUAAUAAUAAUAAUAAUAAUAAUAAUAAUAAUAAUAAUGUAAAGAGGGUUUCUUCUUUUUGUUAACUAGCAGGAGUGCUAAUUUACUGAUAACGAGAAUGGUAUUCCUUUGUAAACCAAAUGGGGAUUAAUGUUCUUUCUUCUGAGUCUGUAAGCUUUUGUUGACGGGCUUUUGGGCAGAUCGGCGCGAGGGGGUCGAGAGAGAGGACGCAAUGCUCUAAGCUGGGCGAGGAUCGGACCCCAAAGGGGGGUCCGAGGCCGGGAGAUUCUCCGAGGACGGAGGGGGGGAUGAAGCUAGAUGUGCUUGGUUGACCACUCGGAGGGUCCUGAGCUGUUUGGAGAGUCCGAGGAGUUCGGAGGGGAUCGAAUGGUGGCCAGAAGACUUCAGUAAUUGAGCUCCAACGGCUGUGCAUGAAGUGGUUUGGACUUUGAUAAGUUUGGCGCCUUUUCUUUAAUUUUCUCUUCAUAUAUACUGUAUUGUUAUUAAUCACUUAGUUAUAGUAACCUUUAUAAAUUGUACUCAUUUA